rnacentral:rRNA from 1 species
CUAAGGCUCCGGAGGAAGCCACGGCUAACUCUGUGCCAGCAGCCGCGGUAAUACAGAGGCGGCAAGCGUUGUUCGGAAUUAUUGGGCGUAAAGAGCACGUAGGCGGCCGUGUAAGUCGGUUGUGAAAGCCUUCCGCUCAACGGGAGAACGGCAUCCGAUACUGCAUGGCUAGAGUGCGGGAGGGGAGAGUGGAACUUCUGGUGGAGCGGUGAAAUGCGUAGAUAUCAGAAGGAACACCGGCGGCGAAGGCGACUCUCUGGCCCGUAACUGACGCUGAGUGUGCGAAAGCUAGGGGAGCAAACGGGAUUAGAUACCCCGGUAGUCCUAGCUGUAAA